rnacentral:misc_RNA from 1 species
GAAAUGCGAUAAGUAAUGUGAAUUGCAGAAUUCAGUGAAUCAUCGAAUCUUUGAACGCACAUUGCGCCCCCUGGUAUUCCGGGGGGUAUGCCUGUUCGAGCGUCAUUUCACCACUCAAGCCUCGCUUGGUAUUGGGCGACGCGGUCCGCCGCGCGCCUCAAAUCGACCGGCUGGGUCUUUCGUGCCCUCAGCGUUGUGGAAACUAUUCGCUAAAGGGUGCCGCGGGAGGCCACGCCGUAAAACAACCCCAUUUCUAAGGUUGACCUCGGAUCAGGUAGGGAUACCCGCUGAACUUAAGC